rnacentral:lncRNA from 1 species
GUGGUUGUCUAUUUUUUUAGCUAGGUUCUGUAAAUCUUUCUGUUAUCUAUCUGUUAUCUUUUUGGGCUUAUAUACAGCCCCAGUGUUAAUUAGAUAGGGAUUCUUUUGGCAGAGAGAACGUCCAGAGCUAUUUCACACACCUUGGAGGAGAUUUCUUGGAUGCUUAGGCUCCUUCUUAUCAAACCUAGGGUUUGCUUUUCCAUUCUUUCAUUAUUUUCAUCUAGUUUCACCAUGAUUAUGGUGAACUAAACCCUUUGUUGUUGGGGAACAAUGUAAUCUUUUGAAACUCUCAUAUAUUGAAAUUCUUAUUUAUUUCAUAUGCUUGUCAUAUACUUGUUUAUCAAUUAUUGGGUUCUCAUUUGCGCUCAAUGCUUUUAUUGUUUAACUCAUUCAGUAAAUGAUGUUUGUCUUUAUCGAUAUGGGGAGGUACGAUAAUGUCAUGAACUAGUGAGAGAUUCCUUGAUUAUGCAAUAUCGCCUAGAGAUAGAGAUAGGACGAUCAAUUGCAUUUGCUUCAGAACGCAUUGCAUUAUUAGUUACUAGGGGAGGCUAUGGAUAGCAAGCCGAUAAUUAAUAGUAGGCUCUUUUCACCAAGGAAUUGGGCUAAGGGUAAUUAAGAAAGUUUGCAUGACAAUUAGAUAAGCAAGGGAAUUAAAUAAGAAGAGUAGAUAUAUGAGAGUGGAUAAGAUGAAAUUGUAAACCCCAACAACACCAUUCAUCCAUAGUUCUCAAAACCAAUUGAAUCAAUUGCAUUGCAUGUUUAUUUUUGUUCUUUGCAUACAACCACCAAUAUUAUUCUUUUCUCAAGUAUUACAAGAUUAGGUUACAUGAAAGUUAAGGCCUAAGAGUCCUUUGGGAAAACGAUACUCGGACUUACCCGUUUAUAUUACUUGAUAACGAUCUGGUACACUUGGCAGGGACUUAACAUACAUAUACUUCUUGUUCUUCUUCUUCUUCAUCUAUAUCUACCACAACUCCAAGAUAAAAUUUUAAUCUUUCGGAGUGAACAAGAAUGUACUGAUCAUCGAAGGCACCAAAGUCACUUUCUCUCUAAACUGCUCAUUGUGACCAUCUUUUCUCUCUUCUUCAUCUUCUUCAACCUCACUACUUUCCAUCUCAAUAAUCUCCUUCUCUUCUUCCUCUUCACUACUUUCAAUUUCAACAACUUCCUUUUCUGCUUUCCUUUUACUCCUGGUUACAACAACUUUGCACUCCUAUUUAGGGUUAACAUCAGUAUUAGCCCUAAAUUGAUUUUUCUCUGUAGUCUCCACCCUUUUUGAUAAUUGACCAAUCUGCAUCUCCAAAGAUUUGAAGCUAGCUUGGUCACUCGCAUGUUGAGACUCAUAAACCUUCAAAAAUUUAUCAAAUCUAUCAUUUAAGUCUCUGACAGCCUCUGUCAAAUGAUUCACCUGCUGCCAUAAGGGUGAUGGUUGAUGCGGUUUGUUGUUAAGGAAACCUCCUACUUGCCCAGAUGGGUUAUUUUGAGAUUGCCCAAUGCUACGAUGUUUUUUCCAACCUUGGCUAGAGUUGCCUUGGCUGAAAUUCCCUUGCUUAUAUUGGAACUGGUUACCCAUAUAAUUU